UGUACGUUCCAAAAACAAAUAACUACGGGGUAGAAGCGACCGUGAAGAAGAUAUAUUGUGCGGCGAGGGAAUACAAUUCAGGAUAGCAAAGGUCGUUCACGUUAGUAUAAAUGACGGUGCGCUGUGAAAAUGGGUUCGCGUCGAAGUCCCGAGAGGCGGUACAGCGACAUCUAUUAUAUUCUUAUAGAACUACGUGGACAUUCGCAUCGGUAAGAUGGCGCCGAUGGUCUUCGUAUAUGCUUUUAAAGGUUGUUAGUAAUGUUUGAAACUUGAUUUCACUGUUUAGGUGCUUUUUCGUAAUUAAAAGUGAUAAUUCAUUUGUAAA